AUGAUCCCUGGAGAGCCAAGAGGCUAUAAAGCAUUCUCAAGGGAUCAAGGCCCUGCAGAGGGAAAGAUGAUAACCUGCAAUCUGAAGGCAGCUGAAAGAGAGUGCAUGCUUUAUCCAGUUGUAUGCUCUGUUGAAAGCAGAGGUGACACCUGCAGAAGAAAAUUAGCUGGAUGCACUUUCAUCACAGAGAAAUGCCAUUAUCUUUUUUUAGUUCCUCUGACAUUUUAUGCAGGGUAUGUCUGCAAAACGUGUUUCUGUGCGAUAGCGCCACUUCCUGAGGCAUUCCAAUACUAUUGUCACUGCUCUUAGAAGUUUGGUUCCUCAGGAAUCUGCAUGUGCUUGCAUUUAUGCCCAGUGAGAUGCCGGAGUGGCUCUGGUGUCUUUAUCCACAAGUGAUUGUCAGAGCAUGUGAGUGUGGAGUUAAGCAGGUAUAAAUUUUGUAGUAAUGAAGAUAGUAGUAAUACCAUACAUCCAUUUAUGGCAGGGGGACUACCUGCAAAAUAAGCUAUUUGUGCACCAAGAUAUUACAGUACGUGAAAAAAGCUGCUAAAGUCUUGUCUGUUAAGUGUGAGGGAUGCAAGAAUUCUGAGUUAAUAUUCACAGAUUAAAAUAUGUGAAGAUUUU
rnacentral:lncRNA from 1 species